UGGGGCUCCGUUUAGUUCGUGUUGUUUGGUUUGCUUGUUUAGUUUUCUUACGGUUCGAACAUGCGCAAGGAAGCGAAAAUGCUGAAGAAAGUGAAGUUGUUAUCAAUAACUAUAUCAACAGAUUACACGAAGACAGUUAUCUGCUAUCAUAUACACUGAGUGAUGGUCAGUUUCGGUACGAAAGAGGGCGGUACAAAACAUCUGUAGAUAAAAGCAAAGAACCUGUGUGGUACGUGUCAGGCAGAUAUGGAUAUAAGUCCCCUGAUGGUCAGCUGUUUCGAUUUAGAUAUACAGCUGAUGAGAACGGUUAUAGACAACAUCAAUUGACUGCUGAUGAGAACUUCGAGAAUGGGGGAAUAGUUGGAAAUAGAAUUGAUUUAAAAACCUUGACUUCGUUGGUUGGAUAAUGGAAUGUGAUGCGUUAAAUUGGUGCUAAACUAGUAAUAAAAUAAAUGAACAAGAUUGUUGGUUGUUAAAAAUGUUCACU